CCUACGGGGGCAGCAGUGGGGAAUAUUGGACAAUGGGCGAAAGCCUGAUCCAGCCAUGCCGCGUGUGUGAAGAAGGCCUUCGGGUUGUAAAGCACUUUCAGUGGGGAAGAAAGCCUUGGGGCUAAUACCCUCGAGGAAGGACAUCACCCACAGAAGAAGCACCGGCUAACUCCGUGCCAGCAGCCGCGGUAAUACGGAGGGUGCGAGCGUUAAUCGGAAUUACUGGGCGUAAAGCGCGCGUAGGCGGUCUGAUAAGCCGGUUGUGAAAGCCCCGGGCUCAACCUGGGAACGGCAUCCGGAACUGUCAGGCUAGAGUGCAGGAGAGGAAGGUAGAAUUCCCGGUGUAGCGGUGAAAUGCGUAGAGAUCGGGAGGAAUACCAGUGGCGAAGGCGGCCUUCUGGACUGACACUGACGCUGAGGUGCGAAAGCGUGGGUAGCAAACAGGAUUAGAUACCCGAGUAGUC
rnacentral:rRNA from 1 species